UAGGGAAUCUUCGGCAAUGGGGGGAACCCUGACCGAGCAACGCCGCGUGAGUGAAGAAGGUUUUCGGAUCGUAAAGCUCUGUUGUUAAGGAAGAACGAGUGUGAGAAUGGAAAGUUCAUGCUGUGACGGUACUUAACCAGAAAGGGACGGCUAACUACGUGCCAGCAGCCGCGGUAAUACGUAGGUCCCGAGCGUUGUCCGGAUUUAUUGGGCGUAAAGCGAGCGCAGGCGGUUAGAAAAGUCUGAAGUGAAAGGCAGUGGCUCAACCAUUGUAGGCUUUGGAAACUGUUUAACUUGAGUGCAGAAGGGGAGAGUGGAAUUCCAUGUGUAGCGGUGAAAUGCGUAGAUAUAUGGAGGAACACCGGUGGCGAAAGCGGCUCUCUGGUCUGUAACUGACGCUGAGGCUCGAAAGCGUGUGGAGCGAACAGG
rnacentral:rRNA from 2 species